UCUGAUGAGAUUUAUGUUGUCCCAGAUGAUAGUCAAAAUCGCAUUAAAAUUCGAAACUCAUUUGUAAAUAAUACCCAAGGAGAUGAAGAAAAUGGAUUUUCUGAUAGAACCUCAAAAAGUCAUGGGGAAUGGAGGCCUUCAAAAUACAAAUAUAAAUCUAAAACCUUGUUUAGUAAAGCCAAGUCAUACUAUAGAAGAACACAUUCAGAUGCCAGUGAUGAUGAGGCUUUCACCACUUCUAAAACAAAAAGAAAAGGAAGACAUCGUGGAAGUGAAGAAGAUCCACUUCUUUCUCCUGUUGAAACUUGGAAAGGUGGUAUUGAUAAUCCUGCAAUCACUUCUGACCAGGAGUUAGAUGAUAAGAAGAUGAAGAAGAAAACCCACAAAGUGAAAGAAGAUAAAAAGCAGAAAAAGAAAACUAAGAACUUCAAUCCACCAACACGUAGAAAUUGGGAAAGUAAUUACUUUGGGAUGCCCCUCCAGGAUCUGGUUACAGCUGAGAAGCUCGUACCACUACUUGUUGAGAAAUGUGUGGAAUUUAUUGAAGAUACAGGGUUAUGUACCGAAGGACUCUACCAUGUCAGUGGGAACAAAACUGACCAAGACAAUAUUCAAAAGCAGUUUGAUCAAGAUCAUAAUAUCAAUCUAGUGUCAACGGAAGUAACAGUAAAUGCUGUAGCUGGAGCCCUUAAAGCUUUCUUUGCAGAUCUGCCAGAUCCUUUAACUCCAUAUUCUCUUCAUCCGGAACUAUUGGAAGCAGCAAAAAUCUCGGAUAAAACAGAACGUCUUCAUGCCUUGAAAGAAAUUGUUAAGAAAUUUCAUCCUGUAAACUAUGAUGUGUUCAGAUAUGUGAUAACACAUCUAAACAGGGUUAGUCAGCAAAAUAAAAUCAACCUAAUGACAGCAGACAACUUAUCCGUUUUUGGCCAACCUUGAUGAGAGCUGAUUUUGAAAAUCGAGAGUUUCUGUCUACUACUAAGAUUCAUCAAUCUGUUGUUGAAACAUUCAUUCAGCAGUGUCAGUUUUUCUUUUACAAUGGGGAAAUUGUAGAAAUGACGAACAUUGUGGCUCCUCCACCACCUUCAAACCCAGGACAGUUGGUGGAACCAAUGGUACCACUUCAGUUGCUGCCACCAUUGCAACCUCAGCUGAUACAACCACAAUUACAAACGGAUCCUCUUGGUAUUAUAUGAGUAGGAAGUGAUUGCAAACAGGCUGGAUUUGGACAAAAAGCAAAUCUAGACAUGCAUGUUUCAGGGUUCAGUAGUAUACUUCAUGUUUCAUACAGAUAAUUCACAUUCAAAAUUACAUUUUCUCUUUGAACUAGAUGGUAUUCCUUAUUCACUUACAUUACAAAUCUAAGACCAUGUGAUAAGCAUGACUGGAGAGGUUUAAUUUUUAUAAACAAAAAUAGCUAUAAAGUACAAAGCUGCUGCUGCAUGCAACCUUAUUGCAAUCAGUAUAUCAUUCCUGUGGCAAUUUCUGUCACAUUAUAUUGUGAAUAAAAUUUUUCCAUAGAAAUUAAAUGAUUUAAAAACUCACCUAUAUGAAACAUUUAAUGCUUUUCAGCCUGCCUUCUGGCUGAUUUUGUUAUUUGAUGUGCUAAUUUGGGCAACUUAAUUUACAUUCUGGCAGUCAGUGUAGAUAAGUAAAAGCCCAGUUAAGUAUUUUAUAAUUUCAGGCUACUGAGGCCAUGCUUGGGAUGUUGUUUGAAAGAAAGAAAAAAUAUACUUGACAUAUUUCACAUUUCUGUACCUUCAUCUUUACUUCCAAGUAAACCUGUGGAUGAUUUGAUGAGGGAUAAAUGAACCUAUUUCUUUUACACACAUACCAAGGACAUGCUUGUGGCUAAAGUGAGUUGAUAUUGUUGUGCAAAGGAUAGUUGUCACCAACUCAUUUCUUUAUGGUCCAUAAUGAAAUAAAAAUUUUGUAUACUGUUAAUUCUGUAAACAGAUGCAUGUUCAAAAGAUCUAUGAUGGUCUUGUAAUCUUAAUCUAAUAUAUUUUAGAUAUUUUAAUUUUUUCCCUCUUGGGGAACACAUUUAGUAUAGUGUAGAAAAUACUUCAUGACAUUUUCAUAUAAGGUUAUAUAACUUUUCAUACAUAAACAUGAAAUUUGUUGUAGAAAAUUCUUUAAACCAAACAUUUAAAUCUAGGACUUCAAUUUAAUUUGUUCCUUGAAUCUAUUUUUUUGUGGCCCUUAAAAA